rnacentral:rRNA from 1 species
UACGUAGGGGGCAAGCGUUGUCCGGAAUCAUUGGCGUAAAGAGCGUGUAGGCGGUCCGGUCAGUCGGUUGUGAAGUCAAGGGCUCAACCCUUGAAUGCCGGCCGAUACUGCCGGGCUAGAGUCCGGAAGAGGUGAGUGGAAUUCCUGGUGUAGCGGUGAAAUGCGCAGAUAUCAGGAGGAACACCGAUGGCGAAGGCAGCUCACUGGGACGGUACUGACGCUGAGACGCGAAGCGUGGGAGCAAACAGG